rnacentral:rRNA from 1 species
UACGAAGGGGGCUAGCGUUGCUCGGAAUCACUGGGCGUAAAGCGCACGUAGGCGGUUUGCUAAGUCAGGGGUGAAAUCCUGGAGCUCAACUCCAGAACUGCCUUUGAUACUGGCGGCCUUGAGUCCGGGAGAGGUGAGUGGAACUGCGAGUGUAGAGGUGAAAUUCGUAGAUAUUCGCAAGAACACCAGUGGCGAAGGCGGCUCACUGGCCCGGUACUGACGCUGAGGUGCGAAAGCGUGGGGAGCAAACAGG